rnacentral:tRNA from 1 species
GGGGAUGUGGCUCAGUGGCACAGCACUUGCCUAGCAAGUGAGACCCCUGAGUUCCAUCCCCA